rnacentral:rRNA from 1 species
GACGAACGCUGGCGGCGUGCUUAACACAUGCAAGUCGAACGGAAAGGCCCUGCUUUUGUGGGGUGCUCGAGUGGCGAACGGGUGAGUAACACGUGAGUAACAUGCACUUGACUUUGGGAUAACUUCAGGAAACUGGGGCUAAUACCGGAUAGGAGCUCCUGCUGCAUGGUGGGGGUUGGAAAGUUUCGGCGGUUGGGGAUGGACUAGCGGCUUAUCCGCUUGUUGGGGGGGUAGUGGCUUACCAAGGCUUUGACGGGUAGCCGGCCUGAGAGGGUGACCGGCGACAUUGGGACUGAGAGACGGCCCAGACUCCUACGGGAGGCAGCAGUGGGGAAUAUUGCACAAUGGGCGGAAGCCUGAUGCAGCAACGCCGCGUGCGGGAUGACGGCCUUCGGGUGGUAAACCGCUUUCGCCUGUGACGAAGCGGGAGUGACGGUAAUGGGUAAAGAAGCACCGGCUAACUACGUG